rnacentral:tRNA from 1 species
CACGUAGCUCAGUGGUAGAGCAACUGUUUUGUAAACAGUUGGUCGGCGGUUCAAAUCCGUCCGUG